rnacentral:rRNA from 1 species
CCUACGGGCGGCAGCAGUAGGGAAUAUUGCUCAAUGGGGGAAACCCUGAAGCAGCAACGCCGCGUGGGGGAUGAAGGUUUUCGGAUUGUAAACUCCUUUUGUUAGAGAAGAUAAUGACGGUAUCUAACGAAUAAGCACCGGCUAACUCCGUGCCAGCAGCCGCGGUAAUACGUAGGGUGCAAGCGUUACUCGGAAUCACUGGGCGUAAAGAGCGCGUAGGCGGGAUAGCAAGUCAGAUGUGAAAUCCUAGGGCUGAACCAUAGAACUGCAUUUGAAACUGUUAUUCUAGAGUAUGGGAGAGGUAGGUGGAAUUCUUGGUGUAGGGGUAAAAUCCGUAGAGAUCAAGAGGAAUACUCAUUGCGAAGGCGACCUGCUAGAACAUAACUGACGCUGAUGCGCGAAAGCGUGGGGAGCAAACAGGAUUAGAUACCCUUGUAGUC